CCAGAGUUCUUUCCCUUAAUACAUUUUUGUGAAAAAAAAAAAUUAUUUUGAUAUUGCUUCUUUAAUUGUAUGGAAAUACAUGCUAUACAGAACAGUGAAAACCUAUCUAAAGGCAAUGCAUGACACAUUUUAAGGGCAAACAAAGGGUAAGAACAGCAUGUAUGCACACACUUCUAAUUUAGCAUAAGAUACGCAGAAGAAAAUUUGCAUUUAGCAGGGUCAGCUCAAAACAUAUUUCAAAAUCUGCAAGUUUUGGUCUAACUCUGGGAUUUUUCAUUAGAGAAAGAACCCGAUUUUUGGCACAAUCACAAGAACCUGUGAUGUGAGCCCCUGCAGACAACAGCCACUCAGCAGCUUGUCAGCAGAAGGACACACGGGCUCAGCCCCAACAGCACUCAGCAUCAGCUGCCUCAACUUUCCAUGGCACACACUGGACAAGUUUCAUUAAGCUAUCCCCAAGAACAGCUUUCAACUAUUGAAAUAGACCAGCGGUAGAGGAGAGAGUGAAGUCUUACAACUCAACCUGGCAGCAAACAAUUGUACCCUUAGUGCAUAAGUAAAAAGAUUGGAAGCCUUAGGCUGGUAAGCCAGCAAAGUAACCCUGCGUCUAGGUGAGGGAGGUCAGUCAAUGUUAAUGUGAAGUUGUCCUCCUGACUACCGUCUGGAAUACAAAUGAUUGCAUUAGCCUGGUCUUGAAAUUAAUUGCUGAAGGUUAAUAUUUGUUAGUAAUAAAUAAAAUAAUAGGAAUGAAUUCAUAAGGAGUAAUUAUAGGGACUAUUUUUAGAUUUUGGAACAUUUUUGGGGUUACUCAACCUUGGCAGCCAAAGGCAUCUGUGAGCUCUUACACUAUCCUCCAUGAUGAACCAUUGUCUCUGUGAGGUAGAUACAGCUCAUAACAGGUGACAAGCUACUAGAGAAGCAGCAUCUCUAGUCUUGUUCCUCUUCAUGGUAGGAGCUCUGUAUACGAGCUCAAAAAGAAUUAUGAAUUUGCUGACAGUACUCAUUAGCUACAAGGAAAGAGGGCACUUCUUUUCCAGCUGCAGCCUCUAAUAAGGAGAGCAACAUGACUGAUUGGCAGCGAUAACUCAGGAAACAAAUCAUCAUUUGUUUCAUAAUAUUAAGCCUUAGAAAGAAAAAUGAUGAGCUCUGGGAGGAAAUCCAGUGGCGAGAAGAAAAUGUGAGGUGUACACUCACACAACAAACACAAGUAGCCGAGAGAUAGUAG
rnacentral:lncRNA from 1 species